UACGAAGGGGGCGAGCGUUGUUCGGAUUUACUGGGCGUAAAGGGCGCGUAGGCGGCCUUGUCAGUCAGGCGUGAAAGCCCCGGGCUCAACCUGGGAACGGCGCUUGGGACGGCGAGGCUGGAGUUCGGGAGAGGAGAGUGGAAUUCCCAGUGUAGAGGUGAAAUGCGUAGAUAUCUGGAGGAACACCGGUGGCGAAGGCGGCAUCCUGGACCGAUAUUGACGCUGAUGCGCGAAAGCCAGGGGAGCAAACGGG
rnacentral:rRNA from 1 species